AUGUUGCCACGCACAGUAGGCGAGGAUAUGAACAGGAACCUAACGAAGGAGUUCACGGAAAAAGAAAUUAGUGAUGCCCUUUUUCAGAUUGGCCCACUCAAAGCGCCUGGUCCCGACGGCUUCCCCGCACGGUUCUUCCAACGAAACUGGGACACUCUAAAGAAAGAUGUGAUAGCCGCAGUGCAGAGGUUUUUUGCGGAUGGCAUUAUGCCAGAGGGAAUCAACGACACAGCCAUUGUGCUCAUCCCUAAAGGAAAGGAUCCACAGAACUUAAGAGAUUUCCGGCCGACCAGUCUAUGUAAUGUAAUUUAUAAAGUUAUCCCGAAGUGCUUGGUUAAUCGAAUGAGGCCUUUUCUGAACGAGUUAGUCUCAGAAACGCAGAGCGCGUUUGUUCCAGGAAGGUUGAUUACGGAUAAUGCGAUCAUUGCAUUUGAAUGUUUUCAUAAGAUUCAGCAUAGCAAAAACCCCCACAAUACAUAUUGUGCAUAUAAGUUAGACCUUGCCAAGGCGUAUGAUAGAGUGGACUGGGACUUCCUUGAAGGUGCUAUGGAGAAAAUGGGAUUCAGUGCCUUGUGGAUAAGCUGGAUUAUGAAAUGUGUGAAAUCUGUCCGGUUUUCAGUGAAGUUGAACGGGGAAGUGCUGGAAGCAUUUUGCCCAUCAAGGGGACUCCGACAAGGUGACCCACUGAGCCCGUAUUUGUUUCUUUUUGUUGCUGAUGGCCUUGCCUCUAUCUUUAAUAGAGAGGUUCGUGGAAGGAACAUUUCGCCCGUAAAAGUGGCUCACAAUAGCCCGGGUAUCUCAAACCUGUUGUUCGCGGAUGAUAGUCUGGUUUUCUUUAAAGUAUCUAGUGACCAAGCCAGAGUAGUGAAAAGAGCCCUUACUCUGUUCCAGAAGUGUACAGGGCAGCUAUUGAGCAGUAGCAAAUGCUCGAUUUUAUUCAGUGAACACUGUCCGAUGGACGUACAGGAAGAAAUCAAAAACAUUCUUGCGUGUGAGACGUCCACCUUCGAGAGUAAAUAUCUGGGACUCCCAACCCCGGAUGGAAGAAUGAAGGACGAUCAUUUUCAGCCUAUCAUGGAUAGAUUCCGUAAGAGAUGCAAUGACUGGGCAGGGAAGCAUAUGUCCUUUGCAGCCAAGGAGGUAAACGUCAAGGCAAUUGCACAAUCCUUACCCACUUUCGCUAUGGGGAUGUUCAAAUUUUCUGCGGGCUUCUGCGACAAGUACGAACGACUGAUCAGAGAGUUUUGGUGG
rnacentral:rRNA from 1 species